CUACGGGAUGCAGCAGUGGGGAAUAUUGCACAAUGGAGGAAACUCUGAUGCAGCAACGCCGCGUGGAGGAUGACACUUUUCGGAGCGUAAACUCCUUUUAUAUAGGAAGAAGAUGACGGUACUAUAUGAAUAAGCGCCGGCUAACUCCGUGCCAGCAGCCGCGGUAACGGAGGGCGCAAGCGUUACUCGGAAUCACUGGGCGUAAAGAGCGUGUAGGCGGAUUAAAAAGUCAGAAGUGAAAUCCUAUAGCUUAACUAUAGAACUGCUUCUGAAACUCUUAAUCUAGAAUAUGGGAGAGGUAGAUGGAAUUUCUGGUGUAGGGGUAAAAUCCGUAGGGAUCAGAAGGAAUACCGAUUGCGAAGGCGAUCUACUAGAACAUUAUUGACGCUGAGACGCGAAAGCGUGGGGAGCAAACAGGAUUAGAUACCCGCGUAGUC
rnacentral:rRNA from 1 species